AAUGAACGUUGGCGGCGUGGAUUAGGCAUGCAAGUCGAGCGGGUGUAGCAAUACAUCAGCGGCGAAAGGGACAGUAAUAUGUAGGUUAUCUGCCUUCAGGACUGGGAUAGCUGCGGGAAACUGCAGGUAAUACCAGAUGAUAUCUUCGGAUCAAAGGUGUGAUUCCGCCUGGAGAUGAGCCUACAUCCUAUUAGCUAGUUGGUGGGGUAACGGCCUACCAAGGCAAUGAUGGGUAGCGGGUGUGAGAGCACGACCCGCGUCACUGGGACUGAGACACUGCCCAGACACCUACGGGUGGCUGCAGUCGAGAAUCUUCGGCAAUGGACGCAAGUCUGACCGAGCGACGCCGCGUGCGGGAUGAAGGCCUUCGGGUUGUAAACCGCUGUCAGAGGGGAUGAAAUGCUGGUGGGUUCUCCCAUCAGUUUGACAUAUCCUCAGAGGAAGUACGGGCUAAGUUCGUGCCAGCAGCCGCAGUAACAC
rnacentral:rRNA from 1 species